rnacentral:rRNA from 2 species
UUGCCCUAGUAACGGCGAGUGAAGCGGCAACAGCUCAAAUUUGAAAUCUGGCGUCUUCGGCGUCCGAGUUGUAAUUUGCAGAGGGCGCUUUGGCAUUGGCAGCGGUCCAAGUUCCUUGGAACAGGACGUCACAGAGGGUGAGAAUCCCGUACGUGGUCGCUAGCCUUUACCGUGUAAAGCCCCUUCGACGAGUCGAGUUGUUUGGGAAUGCAGCUCUAAAUGGGAGGUAAAUUUCUUCUAAAGCUAAAUACUGGCCAGAGACCGAUAGCGCACAAGUAGAGUGAUCGAAAGAUGAAAAGCACUUUGGAAAGAGAGUUAAAAAGCACGUGAAAUUGUUGAAAGGGAAGCGCUUGCAGCCAGACUUGCCUGUAGUUGCUCAUCCGGGUUUCUACCCGGUGCACUCUUCUACGGGCAGGCCAGCAUCAGUUUGGGCGGUUGGAUAAAGGUCUCUGUCAUGUACCUCUCUUCGGGGAGAACUUAUAGGGGAGACGACAUGCAACCAGCCUGGACUGAGGUCCGCGCAUCUGCUAGGAUGCUGGCGUAAUGGCUGUAAGCGGCCCGUCUUGAAACACGGACCAAGGAGUCUAACAUCUAUGCGAGUGUUUGGGUGUCAAGCCCGAGCGCGUAAUGAAAGUGAACGGAGGUGGGAACCUUUCGGGGUGCACCAUCGACCGAUCCUGAUGUCUUCGGAUGGAUUUGAGUAAGAGCAUAGCUGUUGGGACCCGAAAGAUGGUGAACUAUGCUUGAAUAGGGUGAAGCCAGAGGAAACUCUGGUGGAGGCUCGCAGCGGUUCUGACGUGCAAAUCGAUCGUCAAAUUUGGGCAUAGGGGCGAAAGACUA